rnacentral:misc_RNA from 1 species
AAAAAAUAUAUUAUUGACAAGCUUUAAUCCAUUCCUACGCAUCCAGAAUUGCCAAGUGUCUUCACAAUGAAGAAUAUCAAAAAUUCCCACAAAAUAACACUCUUGAGUGUAGUGUAGUGUGAUAAAUAAAAAAUGCAAGAGAUCAUUACAGCUACAAGGACAUUAAGAAAAGAAUAAAUGGUAGGAUAGUCAUUCUUACUGCCACUUCAACAAAGUCUUUU